rnacentral:rRNA from 1 species
UACGGAGGAUCCGAGCGUUAUCCGGAUUUAUUGGGUUUAAAGGGUGCGUAGGCGGCCUGGUAAGUCAGGGGGUGAAAGACGGUAGCUUAACUAUCGCAGUGCCCUUGAUACUGCUGGGCUUGAAUGUAGUUGAGGUAGGCGGAAUGUGACAAGUAGCGGUGAAAUGCAUAGAUAUGUCACAGAACACCAAUUGCGAAGGCAGCUUACUAAAGUAUGAUUGACGCUGAGGCACGAAAGCGUGGGGAUCAAACAGG